CCUACGGGAGGCAGCAGUGGGGGAUAUUGGACAAUGGGGGGAACCCUGAUCCAGCGACGCCGCGUGAGUGAAGAAGUAUUUCGGUAUGUAAAGCUCUGUCAGCAGGGAAGAAAGAAAUGACGGUACCUGACCAAGAAGCCCCGGCUAACUACGUGCCAGUAGCCGCGGUAAUACGUAGGGUGCAAGCGUUAUCCGGAAUUACUGGGUGUAAAGGGAGCGUAGACGGUUAAGUAAGUCUGGAGUUAAAGGCAGGGGCCCAACCCCGGGACUGCGGGGGAAACUAUUCAAGUUGAGUGAAGGCGAGGGGUGCGGAAUUCGUGGUGUAGCGGUGAAAGGUGUAGAUAGAAGGAGGAACACCAGUGGCGAGGGGGGCUUACGAGACUGGAAGUGACAUGGGGGC
rnacentral:rRNA from 1 species